rnacentral:rRNA from 1 species
UGAGGAAUAUUGGGCAAUGGACGCAAGUCUGACCCAGCCAUGCCGCGUGAAGGACGAAGGCGUUCUGCGUUGUAAACUUCUUUUAUCUGGGAAGAAACCUCUUUUUUCUAAAGGAGCCGACGGUACCAGAUGAAUAAGCACCGGCUAACUCCGUGCCAGCAGCCGCGGUAAUACGGAGGGUGCAAGCGUUAUCCGGAUUCACUGGGUUUAAAGGGUGUGUAGGCGGGUAUUUAAGUCAGUGGUGAAAUCUCCAGGCUCAACCUGGAAACUGCCAUUGAUACUAUAUAUCUUGAAUUCUGUUGAGGUGGGCGGAAUACAUCAUGUAGCGGUGAAAUGCUUAGAUAUGAUGUAGAACACCGAUUGCGAAGGCAGCUCACUAAGCAGCGAUUGACGCUGAGGCACGAAAGCGUGGGGAUCAAACAG